UGUCGUUUCUCUCUUCGUUGUCGCUGACGUCACUGGCGCUUUAUAUUUCCCAUUCAUUCUUAUGGCCCGAGCACGAACGAGCACACCCCAUUUUUCCCUCUGCACGUAGUUUUGUUUGAUAGAAAUACGUCCAUUUUACACCUUGUCUUGCAGCUUGUUGUGCCAUUGUUUUUACCGCUCAUUUUCCGGGUCAAAGUUCGAGAGGUUCAAGCGUUUUUUUUUUUUUUUUUUUUUUUUUUUUUUUAAGGAAGUGCGUCACAUCACAGUGGAUAUAUUUAGUACCGAGCUAAAGCAUCAAAGCAAGCUACUUUUUCUGCGAAACUUUCGAGCAACCUUAUUCGGGACCUGCAAUUGCGUCUCACGGGAAUCAUGGUUCAGGACCCGCGGUCCUUUUUUGGGUCUAACUCCUGUUUCCCGCAGCUCAGAUUCUGUUGCUGCGGCUGCUCGCUAAGAACAGGCGUCCUUAUCAUAGGAUGGUACACUGUGGUAAUAGGUGUGUUUUCGAUGAUGGGAUCCUUGCCGGUUGUAAGAGGCCUUAAUGACAGAUUUCUCACAACUGAGAGCCCAGAGCGAAAGCUGGCGAUAUUCGUAUGGGCAAUGGACUUCAUCAUCGAUGGAAUUCUGCUCCGAGUCGCGGCCGCAAUCCUACUGUUUGGAGUGUAUAGUAGUAAACCGAGGUGUGUGCUUCUGUACCUCAUUGUGGCCGUUGUCAGCGCCGCAAAGCUAGGAAUUGAAAUUCCGCUGGUUGCCCUUACGAACAUUGGCAAAGUGAAGGUUCAAUUUUCGUUUCUUGACGUUUUCGUGCCGUUGCUUCAACAUCCAGUGGCAUUAUUCUUUACUUUCAUGUUGACUCUUUACUUUGUCAUGGUGACCAACAGUUACUACACAGAAAUGGAGUCUGCCCCUCCAAGAAAUAAAUGUGGAACAGGAGAAACAGAAGACAGGACGCGUCACGCUUGAAAAAAGAUUCUUCAAAGCACGAAGAAUUCGAUCACUCCAUCCGUUUAUCUAAAUGGAUUGCUCAGACCCCUCAUCCCUCUUACGUAAUCGUGAUUAUGAUUUAGAGGAGAAGCUUUUUCUACGAUCGACAGUUUUGAAUCAUUGUGAAAUUUAAUCCUUGUUUUUGCAUUCAAUAGUUACACUCUCUGGGGAACUGAAGGGUGCACAUUGUGCUACAUAAGUUUCUAUCUACUUGCUAGUUGCUAAAUGGACGUAUUUCUAUCAAACGGAGCUAAGCGCCAUAGGGGGUGGAAGGGGGAGGGGGGCUUGGAUUGGCGGGUGUUGCGGAACGCGAUGCUCGUUCCGUUUUAUACUCGCAAUGCUUUUCCAUGGCGCUUAGUUCCGUUUGACAGAACGCGCUAUCAGGGAUUCUAUAUAAAAUCCUCAAAAGGAACUCAAUUUGGCGCUUAGUUCCGAUUCACGGAAAUACGUCCAAAUAUGCAAUUAAGUUGUUGGUUAAACGCAAUCAAUUCGUCCGCUGUAGAGAAAUGUUCCUUAAUUCGUCUAAAUUUAGGUAUCAAUGUCCAAAGUGCGAGACCUGUAUCUCCAUUCUGCCGUGCUAAGGAAAAACGCCGUAUGAACAUUCAAUAGUUGCCAAAUUUCCUCCAAUGAAACAUUAAUUUUUGAGGAUAGUUAUGGGUGCUUCACUUGGAAAUUUUCAGAUAUUUAAGAUCAGAUUGCUAACAAAAUUAUCCUAAAAAAUUGGAGAAAAACAUUAAUAAAUUUCCCAGAAAAUUCCGGUUUUAUUAGAGGAAAUUUGGCGGUUCAAAUAGGGGUUUUCCUUAGCACGGCAGGAUUGGGGUGUUUUGAAAUCUCUGCUCCUGUUGUAUAUUUAUAAAGAGGAGCACAAGCCAUUAAUAUAGCUUGAAAUUUACACAGAGUAUUCUGAUAAUGGAGAAAAAAAUCAAGGAAGUUUUCAAGUAAUACCAUCGAACAGUUUUCUGAAGAAAAGUAAAGUAUGACAGAAAGUGUGUAACGUCGCAAACGAAGAUAUGUGGCUUCGCCUUUGGGCAUUGAUAUGUCCCUACUACUUAGUUCAAUUCAAUUUGAGGUGUAGUGUGCGCGUGGAAUUUUGAAAAAUCCACAGAAAUCUAAUUAUGCACGAUUUGGUUUGGAAAAUCAACACCAACAAUAAAGCACACAUAUCCGUAAUGAACGUGAGUAUGAAGGCAGUUUGUCUUUUCGAUUGGAGGGAGCAAUCAGUGCCAAAACAAAAAAAAAAAAAAAACAAAAAAAACUGACGAACCUGUUCGCUUUCUGCUCAUUAAAAAUUUAUUAGUCUACAUUUCUACUUCUGAGGAGCAUGUUUAGUGACUCAUAUUAUUAGUUUGGGGGAGGAUUUUUUACUAAGGGGGUCAGGCAACGUCUGCAAUCGUGCUGUUAUAAUUUCUGGGGUUAAAAAUAGUUUUCGUAAAUA
rnacentral:lncRNA from 1 species